UACGUAGGGUGCAAGCGUUGUCCGGAAUUAUUGGGCGUAAAGAGCUCGUAGGCGGUCUGUCGCGUCUGCUGUGAAAACUCAGAGCUUAACCCUGAGCUUGCAGUGGGUACGGGCAGACUAGAGUGUGGUAGGGGAGACUGGAAUUCCUGGUGUAGCGGUGAAAUGCGCAGAUAUCAGGAGGAACACCAGCGGCGAAGGCGGCGCUCUGGGCCGGUACUGACGCUGAGGAGCGAAAGCGUGGGGAUCAAACAGG
rnacentral:rRNA from 1 species